UUUUUAACCGAAGAUAGGGAGACUCAAACCCGCUACCUCUUAAGUGAGUAUGGAAAGACUAUGCCAUUUGAGCUAUAACUCAUUGGCAACCAUAAAUCAUAUCUU